CGAGUAGUAGCUCAGUGGUAGAGCUCCCGCUUCGUAUGUGGGAAGAUCUGAGUUGGGUUCCCGGCUACUUAC
rfam:Toxocara canis scaffold1252, whole genome shotgun sequence.